UUAGAAAGUUCUCCCUACAAAAUCAUAUGGUCUGGGUAUGCUCCAUCUUCACCACACAAAGUAUCUAAAUCAUGCACAACCCCGAUGAAAAUCAAGCAACUGUUUCACACUUUCUUGUUCUCAAACCUUUUCAACUCUCACGCAAUACAUGAGCGUGAACUAUGGAUAUAUCACUAUAGGUGGAAUAUAGUGUGAUGGAGGUUGCAAAAAAAAGGAGAAGAUAGUCUCACAUCAACUAGGCAUAUCAACGGGCUAUGGAGAUGCCCAUCAAUAGAUACUAAUGUGAGUGAGUAGGGAUUUCCAUGCAACAAAUGCACUAGAGCUAUAAGUGUAUGAGAGCUCAAAAAUGAAACUAAGUGGUUGUGCAAAAGAUGUAAUUCCACUAGUUAUAUGAAAGUGACAAAAUAGGAGACUCUCUAUGAAGAACAUGGUGCUACUUUGGAGUACAAGUGUGGAAAAAGAUAGGAGACUCUCUAUGAAGAACAUGGUGCUACUUUGGAGUACAGGUUAUGAAUUUCGUUUUUUUGAAUGGGCUCCUUUGGCCUCUUUUAUUUUUUAUGGGCUUUGCCGGCCUCUUAUAUUUUUUGUAAAGUCCGGAGACUCAUCCCAACUUGUGAGUGAGUCACAGCUUCCAUCAUCCUUUUCUCACACGGGACAAUGCUCUAAUAAUGCAAAUCAUCACACUUUUAUUUACUUACAA
rnacentral:lncRNA from 1 species